UAUAUAGAGAGAGAGAGAGAGAGAGAGAGAGGAGAGAGAGAGAGAGAGAGUUUUGCUAGAAUACUAUCGGUAGUAAACGGCUCAGUUUACUACCGAUUUGUUUUCGAUGAUAGAGCUUCCAAAUUGAUGAUCGGCACCGUUAAACAUGAUCUAAACUAUUUAAACUAUUUGGAAAUUAAAUUUCACACAUUUUCGAUAUUGUUCUCUUGUCGAUCAAGUGAUAAGAAAAAUGAAUGGCUGGAAAUGAAUAUCCUUUAAAAAGUGAUGAUACAAUUUUUAUAUUUGAGAUCUAGAGUCUAGAUCUUAUUUUAAAUAGUUUAAAGAAUUUUUUAACAAAAAUUUAGUUAAUUUGAACUCUUCUAUACCGUUAAACGAGCAAACGCACCAUAUCGGCCGUUAAAAUUAUAGAUUUUGUGACUCUUUGAUCGUUCAGUUAGUGAUGCCAAAAAAUCAUGAAAUUUGAUUUCUAGAUAAUUUCAAUGGCCUAGAUCAUGUUCAACGGUGCCGAUCGUCGAUUUGGAAGCUCUAUCAUCAAAAACAAAUCAGUAGUAAACCGAACAGUUUACUACCGAUAGUAGCCCAGUCAAACUCUAUAUAUAUAUAUAUAGAGUCCGGCUGGGAUACUAUCAAUAGCACGAAGUAUUUGGUGCUAUCAAGUUUUCUGCCGUUAGAUUUACCUUUUUUAUCAUUUUCAUCCGUUCGAUUGUACNUCAUAUAUAUAUAUAUAUAUAUAUAUAUAUAUGAGUCCGGCUAUUAUGCUAUUAAUAGUACGAAGCACUUGGUGCUACCAAGUUUUCCACCGUUAGAUCUACCUUUUUGAUUUUUUUCACCCAUUAGAUCAUACUAUUCAACCAACCAUCCACUUAACCCUAGGGGGCCCACAUCAUCCUAACUGCGCAUCUUUUAAUCCAAUGGCCAAAAACAUGAUAACACCAAUGACUUGGUGCUAUUAAUAGCACAGUAACCUAGUUCUAUAUAUAUAUAUAUAUAUAUAUAUUGUAUUUAUCAGAUAAAAUUUUAAUUUUAUUAUAUUAAUCAUUAAAAAAUAGAUUUGAUUCAUAUGAUGAAGUUUU
rnacentral:lncRNA from 1 species